rnacentral:tmRNA from 6 species
UUAAAUAAAUGGACCCAAAGGCGGUAUUUGGUAUUUCCAUUAAAUUUAAUAAGGGAAUAAUAAAAGAAUUGACAUUUAUUU